UCUCUCUCUCUCUCUCUCUCUCUCUACCUUAUCAUCUUUUUCCUCCCUUUCUCUUUCACUCAAGCCCAACCACUGCUAACAUUUUUCUUUCUUCUUUCCACCAUCACCAACCUUCACCCUUUUUCUUCCUUACCACCAUCUCACCGUCGAUGCCCUAUUUCCUCUCCAUCCGUCGAAUAUCCGGCGACCACCAUUUUUCCAGCGAAUCUCCCUUCUUUCUCUCUUUUUCUUCACUAUUUAAAGGACAUGAGUCGACGGAUAUCCACCUAGGCCUCCAAAAAGGCUAGAGGUUCCACCCUUUUGGCGCCACCACCGCCACUGUCACCACCAUCCUCGCCACCACAACCGGUUGACUUGCCACGGUCGGAGUGGGCUUCACGCCCGCUUCACAAGCUUACAGAGUUUAACAUCACAUAUUUUCAGCGUGACCCGGUUACCUCUUGGGCCGUUGAGCAGCUUUGCCUCCGGCAACAGUUGGGCCUGUGCACUGUUACGACGCUUACUUAUCCUCGUCUGGUACGACUCUUCCACCAGAACAUGUAUGAGUCACUCAUCGAGGUAGGAUUGCUGUCCACCAUUGAUGGCCAUCUCGUCAGCAUCACCUAAUCCAUGAUUGCCGAUGCGUUAGGGUUCUUUUCCAAGACGGAAUACCAGCUCUUCCCGGAAGUUGAGGACCAACAAUCCAUACAUAGCCUCAUCCAAUAGUACUUCCCGGGGGCCCAUGGUGACACCAGUUACAUGUGCUUGCACCAGAGCAAGCUGCCUGGCCGCUUGUUAUUCAUUGACUCUGUCAUACAUAAGAAUGCCCUUCCACUUGGGCAUAAAGCUGAGCGCUGCUUGGAGUUUGUUCGGGUCUUACACGAUUAUCAGCAUGGCUAUCAGGUCCUGCUUGUGCACAUCAUUUGGAUGUAUAUGCACAAAUUUCUACGGUGGGCAGUUCAGCCUCAACCAAUGUAGAACCUGACUUGGCCCCUGCCAUUUGCCAACUUGCUCACACUUGUCUUCGAGCUGAACGACCUUCCCAUUGAUUCGACUGAGGAGAUUGACAGAGCUUGUCCGACUUUCGGGCAGCGGGAAUGGUAGCAUAGCAUAUCUCAUAUCCCGUAGCAAGUUGGUGCCCCAGUUGACGAGGCCUUGGACCUUGUCCACGACCAACCACCUCAUCCUGCCUUCCUUGUGCCUCCCCAAGGGGACCCAUUCUACAUGACUCGCGAGGAGUACUUAUAGCUUCAGCACUCUGUGGAUCAGGUCCACAGUACUCUUCGUGAUCACCACCAGAGGCUCAUGGGGUUGCACACGAAUUUUUAGGCGCAUCGAGACUACUCUUAGGUGGAUUUUGACCAGCUCAACGCUUGCCAACUCGACAUUCAGCAGUCAGUUGCAUCACUGCAAACUAACUUUUAUACAUAUCGAGACUCAAGCCAGCAGUGUUUUGACCAGCUCGGCGCCCGGGUUUAGAAUGAAGCAUUUGAGACGCGAUCUUUGAUGCACGCCUUGUUUGGCCAGCAUUUCUCGCCACCGCUGCCAUCCGAUUCUCGGUAGUACUGGCCUAUAUUUUGCUUUGUCUUUGUUAUUUUUAUUUUUCUUUUUAGUUCUUUCUUCUUUCGUACAAUAAAAAAAAAAAGUGUGUGAAGUGUGUGUGUGUUACUAUAUGCCUACCUGGAUGUGCACCUA